rnacentral:rRNA from 1 species
CAAUAGCGUAUAUUAAAGUUGUUGCAGUUAAAAAGCUCGUAGUUGGACUUCUGCGGGUGGCGGCCGGUCGUGCUCGAAACGGGCGUGAACUUGGCGUGCUGCCCGCAUCUUUGGGGAGAUUGUGCGUGGCAUAAAGUUGUCGUGCAUGGGAUUCUCAUCAUUUACUGUGAAAAAAUUAGAGUGUUUAAAGCAGGCCUUUGCCUUGAAUACAUUAGCAUGGAAUAAUAAGAUAGGACCGUUGUCUAUUUUGUUGGUUUACAGAUGUCGGUAAUGAUUAAUAGGGAUAGUUGGGGGUAUUCGUAUUCAGUUGUCAGAGGUGAAAUUCUUGGAUUUUCGGAAGACGCACGACUGCGAAAGCAUUUACCAAGGAUGUUUUCAUUAA